rnacentral:rRNA from 1 species
UACAGAGGUCUCAAGCGUUGUUCGGAUUUAUUGGGCGUAAAGAGCUCGUAGGCGGUCUGUUACGUCUGCUGUGAAAACCCGGGGCUUAACCCUGGGCUUGCAGUGGAUACGGGUAGACUAGAGGCAGGUAGGGGAGAAUGGAAUUCCCGGUGUAGCGGUGAAAUGCGCAGAUAUCAGGAGGAACACCCGUGGCGAAAGCGGCUCUCUGGGACGGUACUGACGCUGAGACGCGAAAGCGUGGGGAGCAAACAGG